UACAAAAUAUCUUUUAUGUAGAAAUUUUCAUCCAACCUUAAACAACUCUUCAUCUUCUCCUCUUCUCAACAGAGAUAGUCCAAGUUCAAGUUUGUGUAGUCUCCUGUUGUUUAAAUUACAGAAUUUUGACUUCGUUGUGGUGGUUAUUUGCUCCGUGUUUCAUUUGUCUCUCGGUGUGUGAUAUAUUGCAACAUGACGGAAAGAUAUACCAUCAAUAUGAUCACUCCAGAUACUAAAAGUUGAACCUGUAAAGCCCAAGUUGUUGAUAAAUGUCGACCAAGGGAUAACAAACAUAAAACCACAAAAUAUCAAGUCUUAAUUCUGCAAGAUGAAGAGGAGAAUCAAGUUCAGGCCACCAUUUUCAGUACUGAUAUAACAUAUUUUGAAAAAGAAUUAGCUCCUUUCAAGACUUACUUGGUAUUUGUUGCACAUGUGAAAGUCCCGCCUCUUGGACACGAAAAUCCACUUAACAAAUUCAUUUGGACACUCGACAAAAACACCAUUGUUGAACCAAUUGAAGAGGUCAAACCUUCAGAGGAUCCAUUACCACACCCAACACGAUUGACUCUUGCUAAAUUUGACACUUUCGAGUAUCAACCCAAAAAAUUUGAAUUUGAUGUACUUGCCAUCGUCAUUAAUGACAGAAUGACAGUCCUUCAACAAAGACAACAACUGGAAAGCGACUUUAAGAGUUCAUUGUCAUGGAGGGACUGAAAAAACCAACAAAAUUGACACUUUGGGAGGAUUAUGUUGAUCAUGAGGUAGUUAAAACUUUUUGUCACAACCCAAAAUGAGUCGUGAGUGGCACCCACACUUACCCUCCUAUGUGAGCGAACCAACCAAU